GACGAACGCUGGCGGCGUGCUUAACACAUGCAAGUCGAACGGAAAGGCCCUGCUUUUGUGGGGUGCUCGAGUGGCGAACGGGUGAGUAACACGUGAGUAACCUGCCCUUGACUUUGGGAUAACUUCAGGAAACUGGGGCUAAUACCGGAUAGGAGCUCCUGCUGCAUGGUGGGGGUUGGAAAGUUUCGGCGGUUGGGGAUGGACUCGCGGCUUAUCAGCUUGUUGGUGGGGUAGUGGCUUACCAAGGCUUUGACGGGUAGCCGGCCUGGGAGGGUGACCGGCCACAUUGGGACUGAGAUACGGCCCAGACUCCUACGGGAGGCAGCGGUGGGGAAUAUUGCACAAUGGGCGGGAGCCUGAUGCAGCAACGCCGCGUGCGGGAUGACGGCCUUCGGGUUGUAAACCGCUUUCGCCUGUGACGAAGCGUGAGUGACGGUAAUGGGUAAAGAAGCACCGGCUAACUACGUG
rnacentral:rRNA from 1 species